UUUGGUGGCGAUAGCGAAGAGGUCACACCCGUUCCCAUGCCGAACACGGAAGUUAAGCUCUUCAGCGCCGAUGGUAGUCGGGGGUU
rnacentral:rRNA from 1 species